UACGUAGGCAGCGAGCGUUGUUCGGAAUACUGGGCGUAAAGCGUGCGCAGGCGGUUAUAUAAGACAGUUGUGAAAUCCCCGGGCUCAACCUGGGAACUGCAUCUGUGACUGUAUAGCUAGAGUACGGUAGAGGGGGAUGGAAUUCCGCGUGUAGCAGUGAAAUGCGUAGAUAUGCGGAGGAACACCGAUGGCGAAGGCAAUCCCCUGGACCUGUACUGACGCUCAUGCACGAAAGCGUGGGGAGCAAACAGG
rnacentral:rRNA from 1 species